rnacentral:rRNA from 1 species
UACGGGGGGAGCAAGCGUUGUUCGGAUUUACUGGGCGUAAAGGGCGCGUAGGCGGCCGUACAAGUCACUUGUGAAAUCUCCGGGCUUAACUCGGAAAGGUCAAGUGAUACUGUUUGGCUAGAGUGCGGAAGGGGCAACUGGAAUUCUCGGUGUAGCGGUGAAAUGCGUAGAUAUCGAGAGGAACACCUGCGGCGAAGGCGGGUUGCUGGGCCGACACUGACGCUGAGGCGCGAAAGCUAGGGGAGCGAACGGG